AGAUUGAACGCUGGCGGCAGGCCUAACACAUGCAAGUCGAGCGGAAACAGAGAGUAACUUGUUACUUUGCUGUCGAGCGGCGGACGGGUGAGUAAUGCUUGGGAAACUGCCCAGUCGAGGGGGACAACCAUUGGAAACGAUGGCUAAUACCGCAUACGCCCUACGGGGGAAAGAAGGGGACUCUUCGGAGCCUUUCGCGAUUGGAUGUGCCCAAGUGGGAUUAGCUAGUUGGUGAGGUAAAGGCUCACCAAGGCAACGAUCCCUAGCUGGUUUGAGAGGAUGAUCAGCCACACUGGAACUGAGACACGGUCCAGACUCCUACGGGAGGCAGCAGUGGGGAAUAUUGCACAAUGGGCGCAAGCCUGAUGCAGCCAUGCCGCGUGUAUGAAGAAGGCCUUCGGGUUGUAAAGUACUUUCAGCGAGGAGGAAAGGUUAGCAGUUAAUAACUGCUAGCUGUGACGUUACUCGCAGAAGAAGGACCGGCUAACUCCGUGCCAGCAGCCGCGGUAAUACGGAGGGUCCGAGCGUUAAUCGGAAUUACUGGGCGUAAAGCGUACGCAGGCGGUUUGUUAAGCGAGAUGUGAAAGCCCCGGGCUCAACCUGGGAACUGCAUUUCGAACUGACAAACUAGAGUUUUGUAGAGGGUGGUAGAAUUUCAGGUGUAGCGGUGAAAUGCGUAGAGAUCUGAAGGAAUACCAGUGGCGAAGGCGGCCACCUGGACAAUAACUGACGCUCAUGUACGAAAGCGUGGGGAGCAAACGGGAUUAGAUACCCCGGUAGUCCACGCCGUAAACGAUGUCAACUAGCCGACUGAAUCCUUGAGAUUUGGGUGGCGCAGCUAACGCAUUAAGUUGACCGCCUGGGGAGUACGGCCGCAAGGUUA
rnacentral:rRNA from 1 species